GGCCUACCAUGGUGGUAACGGGUAACGGGGUGUUAGGGCACGACACCGGAGAGGGAGCCUGAGAAACGGCUACCACAUCCAAGGAUGGCAGCAGGCGCGCAAAUUACCCAAUCCCGACACGGGGAGGUAGUGACAAUAAAUAACAAUACGGGGUCCUUUCGGGUUUCGUAAUUGGAAUGAGUACAAUUUAAAUCUCUUAACGAGGAACAAUUGGAGGGCAAGUCUGGUGCCAGCAGCCGCGGUAAUUCCAGCUCCAAUAGCGUAUAUUAAAGUUGUUGCAGUUAAAAAGCUCGUAGUUGAAUUUCGGGAUCAGUACGCCGGUCGUGCCUUCGGUAUGCACUGGUGUCACUGGUUUCUCCCUUCUGAAGAACCAUCAUGCCAUUCAGUUGGUGUGGCGGGGAAUCAGGACUGUUACUUUGAAAAAAUUAGAGUGUUUAAAGCAGGCUCGCGCUUGAAUACAUUAGCAUGGAAUAAUGAAAUAGGACGUUUGACCCUAUUUUGUUGGUUUCUAGGAUCGACGUAAUGAUUAAUAGGGAUAGUUGGGGGCAUUAGUAUUCAAUUGUCAGAGGUGAAAUUCUUGGAUUUAUUGAAGACUAACUACUGCGAAAGCAUUUGCCAAGGAUGUUUUCAUUAAUCAAGAACGAAAGUUAGGGGAUCGAAGACGAUCAGAUACCGUCGUAGUCUUAACCAUAAACUAUGCCGACUAGGGAUCGGAUGAUGUUAAUUUUUUAAUGACUCAUUCGGCGCCUUACGGGAAACCAAAGUGUUUGGGUUC
rnacentral:rRNA from 1 species